UCCUGGUAGCUCAGUGGUAAAGGAUCUGCCUGCCAUGCAGGAGACCCAGGUUCAAUCCCUGGGUCAGGAA
rnacentral:tRNA from 1 species